AAGAGAAAAAUGAUAGACAUCACUUCCGAUGUUGAAAAUGAUAAUAUGGAAAUAGACCAUUAAGCAUUCGAAUAAAAGAUGGAUCGGAAUGAUUAAAAGAUGGAAUGAAAUGAAUAAAAGAUGGAAUUGAAUGACAGACAAUAUUUAAAGGACAUCAUCAUUAUUUUUGUGAUAGAUUUUAUAAUAAAUUAUGUAAACAUA